rnacentral:misc_RNA from 1 species
GCAAACUUGGUCAUUUAGAGGAAGUAAAAGUCGUAACAAGGUUUCCGUAGGUGAACCUGCGGAAGGAUCAUUAACGAAUCGUUUCGGGACUGUGCUGGCUUCGGCACGUGCACGUCCCAAUCAUCCGAUACACCUGUGCACCUUUGACCUCGAGCCGUCAGGCAAAGGGGUAUUACACACUCUUGCAUGUAUGUGACAGAAAGUGACGGCGCAAGCCGAAAACCAAAAAACAACUUUCAACAACGGAUCUCUUGGCUCUCGCAUCGAUGAAGAACGCAGC